AGGGUUUGAUCAUGGCUCAGGAUGAACGCUGGCGGCGUGCUUAACACAUGCAAGUCGAACGAACCUUCGGGUUAGUGGCGGACGGGUGAGUAACGCGUGGGAAUCUGCCCUCAGGAGGGGGAUAACGGUUGGAAACGACCGCUAAUACCCCAUAUGCCGAGAGGUGAAAUGAAUUUCGCCUGAGGAUGAGCCCGCGUCUGAUUAGCUUGUUGGUGAGGUAAUGGCUCACCAAGGCUUCGAUCAGUAGCUGGUCUGAGAGGAUGAUCAGCCACACUGGGACUGAGACACGGCCCAGACUCCUACGGGAGGCAGCAGUGGGGAAUUUUCCGCAAUGGGCGAAAGCCUGACGGAGCAACGCCGCGUGAGGGAUGAAGGCCUCUGGGCUGUAAACCUCUUUUCUCAAGGAAGAAGAUAUGACGGUACUUGAGGAAUAAGCCACGGCUAAUUCCGUGCCAGCAGCCGCGGUAAUACGGGAGUGGCAAGCGUUAUCCGGAAUUAUUGGGCGUAAAGCGUCCGCAGGCGGCCUUUCAAGUCUGCUGUUAAAGCGUGGAGCUUAACUCCAUCAUGGCAGUGGAAACUGAUAGGCUUGAGUAUGGUAGGGGCAGAGGGAAUUCCCGGUGUAGCGGUGAAAUGCGUAGAUAUCGGGAAGAACACCAGUGGCGAAGGCGCUCUGCUGGGCCAUAACUGACGCUCAUGGACGAAAGCCAGGGGAGCGAAAGGGAUUAGAUACCCCUGUAGUCCUGGCCGUAAACGAUGAACACUAGGUGUCGGGGGAAUCGACCCCUUCGGUGUCGUAGCUAACGCGUUAAGUGUUCCGCCUGGGGAGUACGCACGCAAGUGUGAAACUCAAAGGAAUUGACGGGGGCCCGCACAAGCGGUGGAGUAUGUGGUUUAAUUCGAUGCAACGCGAAGAACCUUACCAGGGUUUGACAUCCUGCGAACCUUUAAGAAAUUAGAGGGUGCCUUCGGGAACGCAGUGACAGGUGGUGCAUGGCUGUCGUCAGCUCGUGUCGUGAGAUGUUGGGUUAAGUCCCGCAACGAGCGCAACCCACGUUUUUAGUUGCCAGCAUUUAGUUGGGCACUCUAGAAAGACCGCCGGUGAUAAACCGGAGGAAGGUGUGGAUGACGUCAAGUCAUCAUGCCCCUUACAUCCUGGGCUACACACGUACUACAAUGCUACGGACAAAGGGCAGCAAACUCGCGAGAGCUAGCAAAUCCCAUAAACCGUGGCUCAGUUCAGAUCGUAGGCUGCAACUCGCCUACGUGAAGUAGGAAUCGCUAGUAAUCGCAGGUCAGCAUACUGCGGUGAAUACGUUCCCGGGCCUUGUACACACCGCCCGUCACACCAUGGAAGUUGGCCACGCCCGAAGUCGUUACUUUAACCCUUGUGGAGAAGGACGCCGAAGGUGGGGCUGAUGACUGGGGUGAAGUCGUAACAAGGUAACC
rnacentral:rRNA from 1 species